UACGGGGGGAGCAAGCGUUGUUCGGAUUUACUGGGCGUAAAGGGCGCGUAGGCGGUCAGCACAAGUCAGUUGUGAAAUCUCCGGGCUUAACUCGGAAAGGUCAACUGAUACUGUGCGACUAGAGUGCAGAAGGGGCAACUGGAAUUCUCGGUGUAGCGGUGAAAUGCGUAGAUAUCGAGAGGAACACCUGCGGCGAAGGCGGCCCACUGGAUCGGUACUGACGCUGAGGUGCGAAAGCGUGGGGAGCAAACAGG
rnacentral:rRNA from 1 species